CAGCAGCCGCCGCGGGAAUACGGAGGGUGCAAGCGUUAAUCGGAAUUACUGGGCGUAAAGCGCACGCAGGCGGUCUGUCAAGUCAGAUGUGAAAUCCCCGGGCUUAACCUGGGAACUGCAUUUGAAACUGGCAGGCUAGAGUCUUGUAGAGGGGGGUAGAAUUCCAGGUGUAGCGGUGAAAUGCGUAGAGAUCUGGAGGAAUACCGGUGGCGAAGGCGGCCCCCUGGACAAAGACUGACGCUCAGGUGCGAAAGCGUGGGGAGCAAACAGGAUUAGAUACCCCUGUAGUCCCUGUCUCUUAUAA
rnacentral:rRNA from 1 species